rnacentral:misc_RNA from 1 species
UUCAAGAUCUGCUAGUAAGCAAAUGGAAACUCUAGUUUGACAAUAAUAUUAGGAAUUGGUUUCAGUGCCAAUGUUUUGACAGUUCUGGAUAUUGAGGAUUAAGGGCUUGAUAACAGUUGGAAAUAUUUCAGAUCGAAGGAUCUUGAAGUGGUUCUGAAGUUUCGCCGCUAAGUAGCUAGAAAUCUUGCUUUGACGUUAAUAUUAGACGUCGGUUUCGGUUCGAACGUUUGGGCACCUUUGGCUACUGACACGCGUUUCAUAAGACUUGGAAAUGUUUCAGAUCGAAAGUUUCGCUGGUCGCAAGCACGACACGUUCCUCUGUAACGUUGAUACGAUCGAUAGCCACGAAGAGGCCGGCGAUUAAAUACGAUGGAGUCGUCAUUAAGAUGAUUGAGAUAUAACUGCU